UCAGGAAGGAUCGGCCGGAGACGUGGAGGUCGCACGUGGCAGCACCACCAGCCCAAUUCAACACUCCCUUGCCCAGCUGCCGCACCGCCACCGCCGCGGACACUCCUACUCGCCUCCCCAGCAAGCCACGCGCGCGUGCUCACUGCUCAGCUCGCAGACCCAGCCAUGGCGACGCCGACUCCGACCCCCACCUCGCCCGCUUCCAUCCGGGCGUCAGGCGGCCCUGGCGCUGGCGACCGAUGGGUGGUCCGCGCCCAGCCGGCGGCGGCCGAGCUGGUGGAGCGGUCGGUGACCACCAUCCGGUUCCUGGCCGUGGACGCGGUGGAGAAGGCCAAGUCCGGCCACCCGGGGCUCCCAAUGGGGUGCGCGCCGCUGGGCCACGUCCUCUUCGACGAGUUCCUCCGCUUCAACCCGGCCAACCACGCCUGGUUCGACCGCGACCGCUUCGUGCUCUCCGCCGGCCACGGCUGCAUGCUCCACUACGCGCUGCUCCACCUCGCCGGAUACCAAGGCGUCACGAUAGAUGACCUGAAAGCUUUCCGGCAGUGGGGGAGCAGAACUCCUGGUCAUCCAGAAAAUUUUGAAACAGAAAUCCUGAGGAGUACAAGGAGAGGUCCUACCAAGCGAUGUUACUUCCAGGAUUAGCAUCGAAGCCGGCGUCACACUGGGAUGGGAGAAGUAUAUCGGGCCGAAGGGCAAAGCAAUCGGCAUUGACCGUUUUGGUUCAAGUGCUCCUGCUGGAAGAAUAUACAAGGAGCUUGGUCCGACGGUGGAAAAUCUGAUUGCAACAGCUAAAUCACUGUAAAGCGAUCAUUGCAUUGCUCAACAGCCAAAUCUCCUUAAGUCACGCAUGAUAAGGACAAAGGGAAGAGGAGGAGGAAGAAGUAGAAGAUCCAAGUAUGUCAGGCUAUUGAGCAUCUAUACAUCAAGCUACAAGAUAUGAUGAAUUGUUACACGUCACUAUGUAACUAGUAGCAAAGCAUACCUCCUCCACAAUUACAAUAACAUCUACACUGACCUCACGCAUGACUAUCUCGGCCACAACUAUUGUGCCGUCACUUUUAGUAACCUCUCCAAAGGCAAUGAGGACUAUCGCCUUGCUUGAGCUCCUCAUGGGCUUCUU